rnacentral:rRNA from 1 species
UACGAGUGGUGCAAGCGUUAUUCGGAAUCAUUGGGCGUAAAGGGUGUGUAGACGGCAUAUUAAGUCAAUUGUUUAAUUCCUCGGCUCAACCGAGGGCCAGCGGUAGAUACUGGUAUGCUAGAGGGUGGAAGAGAGAAGUGGAAUUCUCGGAGUAGCGGUAAAAUGCGUAGAUCUCGAGAGGAACACCAAUGGCGAAGGCAGCUUCUUGGUCCACACCUGACGUUGAGACACGAAAGCGUGGGGAGCAAACAGG